ensembl:misc_RNA 7SK 7SK RNA
GGAAGUAAUGGGAAUAUAGCUGUGACAUCUGUUGCCCCAUUGAUCUCCAGGGUUGACUCAAUUGAUCUUGCUGGCUAGGUGGUUGUCCUUUCCUCCCUCAACUCAUGUUCGAUUCUCCUGAAGCUGCACUCUUGAUCAAAGAUGACUGAACCUGAUAGAGGAGGACUGUUCCUCAGUCAUGAAGUUGCACUCCCCUGCUAGAACUUCCAAACAAGCUUUCAGAGUGCUCAAGGAUCCAGACACUCAACUCCUACAGACAAGAGAAAAGGAAACCUGGCAACUGCUUCAGCUGGCAGCAUCCACAGAGCCUUGUUUU